rnacentral:lncRNA from 1 species
AAGAUUAUUACUAAUGUUUGUAACAUGUGUAAAUCUGAUGAGGAAGUAGAUGAACACUUGGUUUCGAUUGUUGUUACAUGGAAUGAAUUUGGGAAUAGGUGUUUAGUGAAACGAAAUUGUAUGUUUCCAUUACAGUACAAAUUUGUGAUAUUUUCACUCAUUGGGAGGAGGUGUUUUUGGCAUAGGAAAGUUGUUUUGGAGUAUUGUUUAAAGUUGUUCUUGUGUAGGAAGGUUGGAAG